rnacentral:rRNA from 1 species
CCCGGCGACCGGCGCACGGGUGAGCAACACGUAUGCAACCUGGCCGCCACAGGGGGAUAACCCGCGGAAACGCGGCCUAAUACCCCGUGACGCCACCGGAGGGCAUCCUCCGGUGGCCAAAGGAGCGAUCCGGUGGCGGAUGGGCAUGCGGCGCAUUAGCUAGACGGCGGGGUGACGGCCCACCGUGGCGACGAUGCGUAGGGGUUCUGAGAGGAAGGCCCCCCACACUGGGACUGAGACACGGCCCAGACUCCUACGGAAGGCAGCAG